CCUCUCAUGGCGUAGUGGUUAACGCGCCCCAACUAGAGAUCGGGGAGUCGUGAGUUCGAUGCUCACUGAGAAGA
rnacentral:tRNA from 1 species